AGACGACGCUGGCGGCGUGCUUAACACAUGCAAGUCGAACGGUACCGCAGAGUAGUAAUACGCUGCGGUAUAGUGGCGGACGGGUGAGUAACGCGUGAGCAAUCUGCCUUAAAGAGGGGGACAACAUCCGGAAACGGAUGCUAAUACCGCAUAAGACCACAGCGCCGCAUGGCGCGGGGGUCAAAGGAGCAAUCCGCUUUAAGAUGAGCUCGCGUCCCAUUAGCUAGUUGGUGAGGUAACGGCUCACCAAGGCAACGAUGGGUAGCCGACCUGAGAGGGUGAUCGGCCACACUGGAACUGAGACACGGUCCAGACUCCUACGGGAGGCAGCAGUGGGGAAUAUUGGGCAAUGGGCGAAAGCCUGACCCAGCAACGCCGCGUGAUUGAAGAAGGUCUUCGGAUUGUAAAGAUCUGUCCUAUGGGACGAAUAAAGUGACGGUACCAUAGGAGGAAGCCCCGGCUAACUACGUG
rnacentral:rRNA from 1 species